rnacentral:tRNA from 1 species
AAGGAUUUAAGUUAAAAACAAACUAAUAGCCUUCAAAGCUGUAAAUAGGGGGUCCCUAAGCCUU